rnacentral:lncRNA from 1 species
CUGGAAGAAAAGAAAAUACGUAAGUAAAUGGUUGUGUAUUUUUGCAGUUCAAUUUUUUGGCACAAAUGGGAGUUAAAGACAAAGGAGAUUGUAUAUUUUAUUUGCUAAGAAUAGUUUUUUAAAAUGGCCUAGUUGUAAAGUUAAACUAUGCAGGGAGAGGACAAAAAAUUGGAAUACAAAAAACGUUGAUUGCAUAUGCUGUUAUUGAAACUGUGAAGUCAAAU